CACAGCAUGAAUGCAGGUUAGCAAACCCGCUGAAUUUAAGCA
rnacentral:rRNA from 1 species